GACGAACCGUGCAAACGUUGUUCGGAAUCACUGGGCUUAAAGGGCGCGUAGGCGGGCAAGCAAGUCGAAGGUGAAAUCCCACGGCUCAACCGUGGAAGUGCCCCCGAUACUGCUUGUCUUGAGGGAGAUAGGGGCGUGCGGAACUUCCGGUGGAGCGGUGAAAUGCGUAGAUAUCACUUGGAACGCCAACGGUGAAAACAGCUCGCUGGGGGUAUCCUGACGCUGAGACACGAAAGCCAGGGGAGCAAACGGG
rnacentral:rRNA from 1 species